GAUGAAGAACGUAGCGAAAUGCGAUAAGUAAUGUGAAUUGCAGAAUUCAGUGAAUCAUCGAAUCUUUGAACGCACAUUGCGCCCGCCAGCAUUCUGGCGGGCAUGCCUGUUCGAGCGUCAUUUCAACCCUCGCAGCCCAUCUGGGCAGCGGUGUUGGGGACCGGCACCACCGGCGAAGCCCUUAGGGGCCCAGCCGGCGCCGCCCCCGAAAUACAGUGGCGGUCUCGCUGCAGCCUCCCUUGCGUAGUAGCACAACUCGCACCGGAGCGCAGCGCGGCCACGCCGUAAAACCCCCGACUUUCUGAGUUUGACCUCGAAUCAGGUAGGAAUACCCGCUGAACUUAAGCAUAUCAAUAAGCGGAGGA
rnacentral:misc_RNA from 1 species